GCCAGGGUGGACCCGAAAGUUCAGGGGACCACGAGGGACCAGGCAGUUCAGGUGGCCACGGAGGAUCAGUCCAUCUUAGUUGUGCAGACGGCCAGGGAGGAACUCGCCACUUGAGCGACCAGAGCGGAACCUGCCCUUCCGGUGUCCCAGUGGAGACGUGAAGGUGCUCUGGACGGCCUGUGGAGACGUGAAGGUGCUCUGGACGGCCUGUGGAGACGUGAAGUACCUCGACCUCGGGAACCAUCUCGGGCACCGCAACGGACAGCGCCUCGGGCACCGCAUCGGGAAUGGCCUUGGACCCUGCCUCGGGCACCGCAUCGGGAACGGCCUCCGCAUCGGGCACCGCCUCGGCCAUUGCAUCGGGCACCGCCUCGACCUCGGGCACCGCCUCGGCAUCGGGCAUUGCAUCGGGAACUGCCUCGACCACCGCCUCGGGCACCGCCUCGGUCAUUGCAUCGGGGACCGCCUCGGGAACCGCAUCGGGCACCGCCUCGGCAUCGGGCACCGCCUCGGCAUCGGACACCGCCUCGGCAUCGGGCACCGCCUCGGCAACGGGCACCGCCUCGGCAACGGGCACCGCCUCGGGCACCGCCUCGGCAUCGGACAUUGCAUCGGGAACCGCCUCGGCCACCGCAUCAGGCACCGCCUCGGCAUCGGGCAUUGCAUCGGGAACGUCCUCCUGGACGGCAGCGGCCUGCUCGGGAACGUCCUCCGGGC
ensembl:lncRNA